rnacentral:miRNA from 8 species
AUAAAAUCACUGUCUGCCACUG